rnacentral:rRNA from 1 species
AGAGUUUGAUCCUGGCUCAGGAUGAACGCUGGCGGCGUGCUUAACACAUGCAAGUCGAACGAUCCUUCGGGAUAGUGGCGGACGGGUGAGUAACGCGUGGGAAUCUGCCCUCAGGAGGGGGAUAACGGCUGGAAACGGCCGCUAAUACCCCAUGUGCCGAGAGGUGAAAUGAAUUUCGCCUGAGGAUGAGCCCGCGUCUGAUUAGCUAGUUGGUGGGGUAAAGGCCUACCAAGGCAACGAUCAGUAGCUGGUCUGAGAGGAUGAUCAGCCACACUGGGACUGAGACACGGCCCAGACUCCUACGGGAGGCAGCAGUGGGGAAUUUUCCGCAAUGGGCGAAAGCCUGACGGAGCAACGCCGCGUGAGGGAUGAAGGCCUCUGGGCUGUAAACCUCUUUUCUCAAGGAAGAAGACCUGACGGUACUUGAGGAAUAAGCCACGGCUAAUUCCGUGCCAGCAGCCGCGGUAAUACGGGAGUGGCAAGCGUUAUCCAGAAUUAUUGGGCGUAAAGCGUCCGCAGGCGGCCUUGUAAGUCUGUUGUUAAAGCGUGGAGCUCAACUCCAUUUAAGCAAUGGAAACUACAAGGCUGGAGUGUGGUAGGGGCAGAGGGAAUUCCCGGUGUAGCGGUGAAAUGCGUAGAUAUCGGGAAGAACACCAGUGGCGAAGGCGCUCUGCUGGGCCAUAACUGACGCUCAUGGACGAAGGCCAGGGGAGCGAAAGGGAUUAGAUACCCCUGUAGUCCUGGCCGUAAACGAUGAACACUAGGUGUCGGGGGAAUCGACCCCCUCGGUGUCGUAGCUAACGCGUUAAGUGUUCCGCCUGGGGAGUACGCACGCAAGUGUGAAACUCAAAGGAAUUGACGGGGGCCCGCACAAGCGGUGGAGUAUGUGGUUUAAUUCGAUGCAACGCGAAGAACCUUACCAGGGUUUGACAUCCUGCGAAUCCCUUGGAAACUUGGGAGUGCCUUCGGGAGCGCAGAGACAGGUGGUGCAUGGCUGUCGUCAGCUCGUGUCGUGAGAUGUUGGGUUAAGUCCCGCAACGAGCGCAACCCACGUCUUUAGUUGCCAGCAUUGAGUUGGGCACUCUAGAGAGACCGCCGGUGAUAAACCGGAGGAAGGUGUGGAUGACGUCAAGUCAUCAUGCCCCUUACAUCCUGGGCUACACACGUACUACAAUGCUACGGACAAAGGGCAGCAAACUCGCGAGAGCUAGCAAAUCCCAUAAACCGUGGCUCAGUUCAGAUCGUAGGCUGCAACUCGCCUACGUGAAGGAGGAAUCGCUAGUAAUCGCAGGUCAGCAUACUGCGGUGAAUACGUUCCCGGGCCUUGUACACACCGCCCGUCACACCAUGGAAGUUGGCCAUGCCCGAAGUCGUUACUCCAACCC